ACGGUACCCAAAGAAUAAGCACCGGCUAACUUCGUGCCAGCAGCCGCGGUAAUACGAAGGGUGCAAGCGUUACUCGGAAUUACUGGGCGUAAAGCGUGCGUAGGCGGUUUGUUAAGUCUGCUGUGAAAGCCCUGGGCUCAACCUGGGAACUGCAGUGGAUACUGGCGAGCUAGAGUGUGUCAGAGGAUGGUGGAAUUCCCGGUGUAGCGGUGAAAUGCGUAGAGAUCGGGAGGAACACCAGUGGCGAAGGCGGCCAUCUGGGACAACACUGACGCUGAGGCACGAAAGCGUGGGGAGCAAACAGGAUUAGAUACCCUGGUAGUCCACGCCCUAAACGAUGCGAACUGGACGUUGGGCACACUUAGGUGCUCAGUGUCGAAGCUAACGCGUUAAGUUCGCCGCCUGGGGAGUACGGUCGCAAGACUGAAACUCAAAGGAAUUGACGGGGGCCCGCACAAGCGGUGGAGUAUGUGGUUUAAUUCGAUGCAACGCGAAGAACCUUACCUGGCCUUGACAUGUCCGGAAUCCUGCAGAGAUGCGGGAGUGCCUUC
rnacentral:rRNA from 1 species